rnacentral:rRNA from 1 species
UACGAAGGGGGCUAGCGUUGUUCGGAAUUACUGGGCGUAAAGGGCGCGCAGGCGGCCCUUCAAGUCCGAUGUGAAAGCCCCGGGCUCAACCCGGGAACGGCAUUUGAGACUGAAGGGCUUGAGUUCGGGAGAGGAGAGUGGAAUUCCCAGUGUAGAGGUGAAAUUCGUAGAUAUUGGGAAGAACACCGGUGGCGAAGGCGGCUCUCUGGACCGACACUGACGCUGAGGCGCGAAAGCGUGGGGAGCAAACAGG